rnacentral:rRNA from 1 species
UACGAAGGGGGGCUAGCGUUGUUCGGAAUUACUGGGCGUAAAGCGUGCGCAGGCGGUGAUGUAAGACAGGUGUGAAAUCCCCGGGCUCAACCUGGGAAUUGCGAUGGAGACUGCAAGGCUAGAAUCUGGCAGAGGGGGGGUAGAAUUCCACGUGUAGCAGUGAAAUGCGUAGAGAUGUGGAGGAACACCGAUGGCGAAGGCAGCCCCCCUGGGUCAAGAUUGACGCUCAUGCACGAAAGCGUGGGGAGCAAACAGG